rnacentral:rRNA from 1 species
GAUGAACGCUGGCGGCGUGCCUAAUACAUGCAAGUCGAGCGAACGGACGAGAAGCUUGCUUUUCUGAUGUUAGCGGCGGACGGGUGAGUAACACGUGGAUAACCUACCUAUAAGACUGGGAUAACUUCGGGAAACCGGAGCUAAUACCGGAUAAUAUUUUGAACCGCAUGGUUCAAAAGUGAAAGACGGUCUUGCUGUCACUUAUAGAUGGAUCCGCGCUGCAUUAGCUAGUUGGUAAGGUAACGGCUUACCAAGGCAACGAUGCAUAGCCGACCUGAGAGGGUGAUCGGCCACACUGGAACUGAGACACGGUCCAGACUCCUACGGGAGGCAGCAGUAGGGAAUCUUCCGCAAUGGGCGAAAGCCUGACGCAGCAACGCCGCGUGAGUGAUGAAGGUCUUCGGAUCGUAAAACUCUGUUAUUAGGGAAGAACAUAUGUGUAAGUAACUGUGCACAUCUUGACGGUACCUAAUCAGAAAGCCCCGGCUAACUACGUG